AUCUAAGUGGUGGAACCGGUAGACACGACGAACUUAAGCUUCGUUGGCAUUAGCCAUGAAGGUUCAAGUCCUUCCUUAGAUA
rnacentral:tRNA from 2 species